UACGGGAGGCAGCAGUGGGGAAUAUUGCACAAUGGGCGAAAGCCUGAUGCAGCUAUGCCGCGUGUAUGAAGAAGGCCUUAGGGUUGUAAAGUACUUUCAGUCGUGAGGAAGGUGUUAAGGUUAAUAACCUUAGCAAUUGACGUUAGCGACAGAAGAAGCACCGGCUAACUCCGUGCCAGCAGCCGCGGUAAUACGGAGGGUGCGAGCGUUAAUCGGAAUUACUGGGCGUAAAGGGCACGCAGGCGGUUAAUUAAGUUGGAUGUGAAAUCCCCGGGCUUAACCUGGGAAUGGCAUUCAAGACUGGUUAGCUAGAGUCUUGUAGAGGGGGGUAGAAUUCCAUGUGUAGCGGUGAAAUGCGUAGAGAUGUGGAGGAAAUACCGGUGGGCGAAAGGGCGGGCCCCCUGGGACAAAAGGACUGACGCUCAUGUGCGAAAAGCGUGGGGGAGCAAAACAGGGAUUAGAUACC
rnacentral:rRNA from 1 species